UACGUAGGGGGCAAGCGUUGUCCGGAUUUAUUGGGCGUAAAGAGCGUGUAGGCGGCCAGAUAGGUCAGCUGUGAAAACUCGAGGCUCAACCUCGAGACGUCGGUUGAAACCAUCUGGCUAGAGUCCGGAAGAGGAGAGUGGAAUUCCCGGUGUAGCGGUGAAAUGCGCAGAUAUCGGGAAGAACACCCGUGGCGAAGGCGGCACUCUGGGACGGUACUGACGCUGAGACGCGAAAGCGUGGGGAGCGAACAGG
rnacentral:rRNA from 1 species